rnacentral:rRNA from 1 species
GUUAAACGCUGGCGGCAUGCCUUACACAUGCAAGUCGAACGGCAGCACGGGGGCAACCCUGGUGGCGAGUGGCGGACGGGUGAGUAACACAUCGGAACGUGCCCUGGAGUGGGGGAUAACGCAGCGAAAGCUACGCUAAUACCGCAUAUUCUGUGAGCAGGAAAGCAGGGGAUCGCAAGACCUUGCGCUUUGGGAGCGGCCGAUGUCGGAUUAGCUAGUUGGUGGGGUAAAGGCUUACCAAGGCGACGAUCCGUAGCGGGUCUGAGAGGAUGAUCCGCCACACUGGGACUGAGACACGGCCCAGACUCCUACGGGAGGCAGCAGUGGGGAAUUUUGGACAAUGGGCGGAAGCCUGAUCCAGCCAUGCCGCGUGAGUGAAGAAGGCC